GUCUUACUCCUAGGCCCGUCCCUCUCCCAUUUUCCACUCGCCUCCCAGGACACCCCCUGACAUAAUCACACACAUAAUCACUGGUCAGAGCCAGUGUGAGCCUCAUCUGUAGCCUUUUCAAUGCUCUUGCUCAAUCAAGUUAAUCUACAAGAGAUAUUCAUUGGGUGGAACUGAGAACCUGGCCACUUUACACUUAGCUCUGGUGAAUCCCGGGCAAGAAUAGCUGAUGAAGUCCAUGUUGGGUAGGCACAAAGUGACAGCUUAGAGGAGAGUUCUCCUGUAGUCACGUUAGGGGUAUCUCCACAAGAAAAC
rnacentral:lncRNA from 1 species